AAAGGAAUUGACGGGGGCCCGCACAAGCGGAGGAACAUGUGGUUUAAUUCGAUGAUACGCGAGGAACCUUACCCGGGCUUGAAAUGCAUCCGACCUCCCCAGAGACGGGGACUCCCCUCGGGGCGGAUGCGUAGGUGCUGCAUGGUUGUCGUCAGCUCGUGCCGUGAGGUGUCGGCUUAAGUGCCAUAACGAGCGCAACCCUCAUCGCUAGUUGCCAUCAGGUCAUGCUGGGGACUCUAGCGAGACUGCCAUCGUAAGAUGCGAGGAAGGUGGGGAUGACGUCAAAUCAGCACGGCCCUUACGUCCGGGGCGACACACGUGUUACAAUGGGUGGUACAAAGGGCGGCUACAUGGCGACAUGAUGCUAAUCUCCAAAACCACUCUCAGUUCGGAUCGGAGUCUGCAACUCGACUUCGUGAAGCUGGAUUCGCUAGUAAUCGCGCAUCAGCCACGGCGCGGUGAAUACGUUCCCGGGCCUUGUACACACCGCCCGU
rnacentral:rRNA from 1 species